UUUUUACAGAAUUUACAAACAUUAUUUAAUUUAGCCAAAUUUCUGGAUUUCUGGAACACUGUCACAUUUGUUUUGACUGACUUUAAAGCCUCUUCUUUUGAAUAGUCUCACAGAGUGAUAUUUUAUAGAGGUAUGUUUCCAGACUUUUAAUGCCUUCACCAUGUUUACUGGUUUCGUCUGACAACCUCAUCUUUGAAACAGUCUCCAGAGUGAUAGUGGGUAUGAUUUAGGGUCUCCUAAAUUUUGAUAUUAUAAGGCUGCCCUAGUUAUCUAAUUUGUUAAAGUCAAGUUUUCUAUACACCCAAAUGAAAUAUUUGCUUUAGAUUCACAUUUAAAAAUCCUCACCACUAACAUUUUAUUAAUUAUGCCUGUCUUCAAACAACAAUAUAGUAUGUCAACAAAGAAAACGAAUUGGUAUAUAAGCAAGGUCAGUACAUAGAAUAUAUACUUCAACACCGUUAUGUAUUGGUGAAAUUAUGGAAUAUUUAUCAACAAGGUGGUGUAAUCUUCCACUAAACUUUUUAGAAAAAGGACAUGACGUUCUUUUAUAUAACCAUGGUUCAUCAACUUUGUGCUCAGACACUGCAUGAUGACAUUUAUUAAGUCUGUGUAGCAACUGCAAGCUAUUGAAUAUCGAAUGAGUUUGGGGAAAUGUAUAUAGUGAUCAAAGGUACCAGGAUUAUAAUUUGAUACACCAAACGCACGUUUCGUCUUCAUAAGACUCUUCAGUGACGCUGAGUUCAUAUAUUUAAAAAGCCAAACAAGUGUAAAGUUGAAGAGUAUUGAGGACCCAAAAUUCGAUAUACAGGUGAUGUUUGUUUAUAGCUGCUAAAUAAAGGAAACAGUAGUAUACCGCUGUUCGAAAGUCAUAAAUCGAUUGAGAGAAAAAGAAUCCGGGUUACAAACUAAAACUGAGGUAAACACAUCAACUAUAAGAGAAAAAAAAAACAAGGAAAUAACAGAAACACUGUAGUGCAACAAAAAACAAAAACCACAACACACAGAAACGAAAUAUAAGAUAACAACAGCCAUUUUCCUGACUUGGUACAGGACAUUUUAAUAAUAAAAAAAAAUGGUGGGUUGAACCUAAGCCUGAUCUAAUUUUUGACAAGUUCUCUAAGGAAUUUUGACUCAUAGGACAUCAUUAAUAUAUUUUAGUAUCUGAAAGUAAAACUAAAGAAUCGCAAGGUACUCGAACUCUGUAUCUCUUUGUCGCCCUCUUAUUUUCAUAUCACUGAAUAACCCAUAUUUCAUUCAGAACAUUUUAUAUCUCCUACUAUACUUGAAAUAAAG
rnacentral:lncRNA from 1 species